UACGGAGGGGGUUAGCGUUGUUCGGAAUGACUGGGCGUAAAGCGCGCGUAGGCGGAUCGUUAAGUCAGAGGUGAAAUCCUGGAGCUCAACUCCAGAACUGCCUUUGAUACUGAAAGUCUUGAGUAUGGGAGAGGUGAGUGGAACUGCGAGUGUAGAGGUGAAAUUCGUAGAUAUUCGCAAGAACACCAGUGGCGAAGGCGGCUCACUGGCCCAUAACUGACGCUGAGGCACGAAAGCGUGGGGAGCAAACAGG
rnacentral:rRNA from 1 species